UACGAAGGGGGCUAGCGUUGUUCGGAAUCACUGGGCGUAAAGAGCGCGUAGGCGGUCCGAUAAGUCGGCUGUGAAAGUCAGGGGCUCAACCCUUGAAAGCCGGCCGAUACUGUCGGACUAGAGUCCGGAAGAGGCAAGUGGAAUUCCCGGUGUAGCGGUGAAAUGCGCAGAUAUCGGGAGAACACCAGUGGCGAAGGCGACUUCCUGGCCUGUUCUUGACGCUGAGACGCGAAAGCGUGGGGAGCAACAGG
rnacentral:rRNA from 1 species